UAUUGCUGGAAUCAUGAAUGGUCUGAAUAGGAUUUGAGUUUGUUUACUUGUGAAACUUACCUGCACCACCAUUUACAGAUCCAGUGGGUGCAGAUCAUCAUACAGAUGGUUCAAGUGUGGAUCCACCUAAUAUUCAAGAUUUUCUGUCCUGGGACACUCGGCUAACCAUCAAGAAAGAACACAGUAGGUUAACAAGAAUCUGACCUCACGUUUGAUCAUUACAAGAUUAUGGCAGUACAUUACACAUUUAAGGACUGUUAUUCCUCUGGCUGAUUUAAAAAUAACCAAAAGUUCUUAAAAAGAAGCAGCCCUAGUUAUUUUGGCUUGUUAAACAUAAACUAUAUAGACAUAAGUAUUGCGACACCUCCUUCUAAUAAACAGGUUUAAAUACUUUACAUAUUUCCAUGAGCACAAAUCUUAAUGCUACAGCAUAUGAUAUUCUAGAAAAACCGUUUGAUGCUAAAUUUAUAGCAAGAGUUUUGGCAGGGCCCUUUUCAAUACCAACUUAAGAAUGACCCUACAAACAAAGUAAGGUUCAAACAGAAAAUUAGUGAUUCAGUCUGGUGUGGAAGAACUUUGACUGGUCUGAAUAGACCUUAACUCAGCUAACACCUUUGAUAUGACUCAAAGGUUUUUAGCCAAAAACUCAUCACCUAAACCUAUCAAUGACUUGUACAAGAAGCUGUAGUCAUUUCGGAACAGAAAAAGGCACUUACAAAACUGUUGCAACAAAAAUCAAAAUUCUUUGUAGUGGUAUUAUAUGGUAUAGCAUUUUUAUUUGUUUUGAUUGGACAUACUGGAAUAAAUAAACAUGUUUAUUAGAAUGAGGCCUCCCAAUACUUUUGUCUAGUGUAUUUGCCACAGACAGGGUAACGCAAUCCUUAGAGUGUGCUUCUUUGUAAAUGUGACAAAUGAAAAUGACCUGAUCCAUCAUUUCCAGCUCCAGUGGGCAUCCUUUAUCCAUCCAGACCCUCAUACAGAUGUUGGAGUUUUGAUUCACCUAAAGUACCAUGCAAGAGCACUCAUUUUCCCUCUUGAGACCAUGGUGUGACCUGCAAGGUCGAAUGGAGACUGUAAGCGAGACAAUCUUGGAGUCACCUGCAUUGACUGGUCCAGUUGUUAGUCCAAUUACAGAUGGAGAUUAUAGAAGAGGAUGAUGUCUUUUCUCCAACAUCUUUCUAGACUGAUAAAAGAUCUAGACAGGCUUGAACAAAAGUUAACAGAGGGGCUUAUAUAGAGAAUGGUGAGCAGCUACACAUAAAAGAAGAACAUGGAGAAUCUGCCCAGAGGUGUUAACCAGCAAUGCAGCUAUACAACUAAAGUGAUGCAGGCGGAAACAAUAAUGCAGCUGCUGCAGAUGAAGAAUCCGUCCGUCUACCACUGAAGGAGACGCGGAAAAUCGGGAAAAGAUGUUCUUUGCCCGAGGAAGCAUUUGAUUAAUUUAAAGAUAUUGUGUUUC